rnacentral:rRNA from 1 species
AUUGAACGCUGGCGGCAGGCCUAACACAUGCAAGUCGAGCGAGCGGCGGACGGGUGAGUAAUGUAUGGGGAUCUGCCCGAUCGAGGGGGAUAACUACUGGAAACGGUGGCUAAUACCGCAUACUAUCGGAUGAACCCAGAUGGGAUUAGCUAGUAGGUGGGGUAAAGGCUCACCUAGGCGACGAUCGCUAGCUGGUCUGAGAGGAUGAUCAGCCACACUGGGACUGAGACACGGCCCAGACUCCGACGGGAGGCAGCAGUGGGGAAUAUUGCGCAAUGGGCGCAAGCCUGAUCCAGCAAUGCCGCGUGUGUGAAGAAGGUCUUAGGGUUGUAAAGUACUGUCAGCGGGGAAGCGUUACCCGCAGAAGAAGCACCGGCUAACUCCGUGCCAGCAGCCGCGGUAAUAC